CACGACUUCAGGGCUUUCAGCUUUCUUUCCUCACAGACGUCACACAGAACUUCAGGUUUUUUCUCAGGACUUUUCUUUUUAUAGUGAUCUACAACUUCUCGGAGUGUGGUAUUAAUCUUGAGAUCAGGUCUGAUCUUGAAUGUUUCUUUACAAUAUGGACAGUUGCAGGUCUGGCUGUUGUCCCAGCACUUAUUCAGACAGGUCUUGCAGAAGUUGUGUCCACAUGGAGUGCUGACUGGAUCAGUGAACACAUCCAGACAUAUCGAGCACUGAAGCUCCUCAGUCAGUGGACCGCUGGAGGAUGACAUCACUGGA